CAAAAUGGGAGGUAAAUUUCUCCUAAGGCUAAAUAUCGGCGAGAGACUGAUAGCGAACAAGUACCGUGAGGGAAAGAUGAAAAGAACUUUGAAAAGAGAGUAAAAUAGUACGUGAAAUUGUUGAAAGGGAAACGAUUGAAGUCAGUCGUACCGACGAGAAAUCAACUUAUCGUGUGCGAACUUGUGGGCGUGCGUGAGUUUCGGCCUCGCUGUUUGCAUGUUUGUGCGUUUUGGGUGUACUUUUUCGUAUGGUAGGCCAACGUCAGUUUCGAUAUCAUAAAAUGACCGGCGGAAUGUAGCUUCGAUUUCGGUUGAAGUGUUAUAGCCUCUGGUAGAUGUGGUGAUUGAGACUGAGGAUUGCAACGAAUACCCUUUGGGCUAUCCGUCUGGCCUCUGAAAGUUGCUCAGGUGCCGAAAGCGUGCUUACGGUCAUCUAAGAUAAUGUUCAACAGGUUAGAACGUGAUUACAUUCGUUAAGGAUGUUGGCGUAAUGGCUUUAAACGACCCGUCUUGAAACACGGACCAAGGAG
rnacentral:rRNA from 1 species